UACGUAGGGGGCAAGCGUUGUCCGGAAUCAUUGGGCGUAAAGAGCGCGUAGGCGGCCCGGUAAGUCCGCUGUGAAAGUCAAAGGCUCAACCUUUGAAUGUCAGCGGAUACUGCCGGGCUAGAGUCCGGAAGAGGCGAGUGGAACUCCUGGUGUAGCGGUGGAAUGCGCAGAUAUCAGGAGGAACACCGGUGGCGAAGGCGGAUCUCUGGGCCUUGCCUGACGCUGAGGCGCGAAAGCUAGGGGAGCGAACAGG
rnacentral:rRNA from 1 species